rnacentral:rRNA from 1 species
GAUGAACGCUAGCUACAGGCUUAACACAUGCAAGUCGAGGGGCAGCAUGACCUAGCAAUAGGUUGAUGGCGACCGGCGCACGGGUGAGUAACACGUAUCCAACCUACCGGUUAUUCCGGGAUAGCCUUUCGAAAGAAAGAUUAAUACCGGAUAGUAUAACGAGAAGGCAUCUUUUUGUUAUUAAAGAAUUUCGAUAACCGAUGGGGAUGCGUUCCAUUAGUUUGUUGGCGGGGUAACGGCCCACCAAGACAUCGAUGGAUAGGGGUUCUGAGAGGAAGGUCCCCCACAUUGGAACUGAGACACGGUCCAAACUCCUACGGGAGGCAGCAGUGAGGAAUAUUGGUCAAUGGACGAGAGUCUGAACCAGCCAAGUAGCGUGAAGGAUGACUGCCCUAUGGGUUGUAAACUUCUUUUAUAUGGGAAUAAAGUGAGCCACGUGUGGCUUUUUGUAUGUACCAUACGAAUAAGGAUCGGCUAACUCCGUGCCAGCAGCCGCGGUAAUACGGAGGAUCCGAGCGUUAUCCGGAUUUAUUGGGUUUAAAGGGAGCGUAGGCGGACUAUUAAGUCAGCUGUGAAAGUUUGCGGCUCAACCGUAAAAUUGCAGUUGAUACUGGUCGUCUUGAGUGCAGUAGAGGUAGGCGGAAUUCGUGGUGUAGCGGUGAAAUGCUUAGAUAUCACGAAGAACUCCGAUUGCGAAGGCAGCUUACUGGACUGUAACUGACGCUGAUGCUCGAAAGUGUGGGUAUCAAACAGGAUUAGAUACCCUGGUAGUCCACACAGUAAACGAUAAAUACUCGCUGUUUGCGAUAUACGGCAAGCGGCCAAGCGAAAGCAUUA